UGUUUCGGCUAGGGGGCCAUCCCGGCUUACCAACCCGAUGCAAACUGCGAAUACCGGAGAAUGUUAUCACGGGAGACACACGGCGGGUGCUAACGUCCGUCGUGAAGAGGGAAACAACCCAGACCGCCAGCUAAGGUCCCAAAGUCAUGGUUAAGUGGGAAACGAUGUGGGAAGGCCCAGACAGCCAGGAUGUUGGCUUAGAAGCAGCCAUCAUUUAAAGAAAGCGUAAUAGCUCACUGGUCGAGUCGGCCUGCGCGGAAGAUGUAACGGGGCUAAACCAUGCACCGAAGCUGCGGCAGCGACACUGUGUGUUGUUGGGUAGGGGAGCGUUCUGUAAGCCUGCGAAGGU
rnacentral:rRNA from 1 species